UACGUAGGGACCAAGCGUUGUUCGGAUUUACUGGGCGUAAAGCGUGCGCAGGCGGUUUGUAAGACAGGCGUGAAAUCCCCGAGCUCAACUUGGGAAUUGCGCUUGUGACUGCAAGGCUAGAGUGUGUCAGAGGGGGGUAGAAUUCCACGUGUAGCAGUGAAAUGCGUAGAGAUGUGGAGGAAUACCGAUGGCGAAGGCAGCCCCCUGGGACCAUGACUGACGCUCA
rnacentral:rRNA from 1 species